AUGGUGCUAUGCUACUCUGCAAGUAACGAAACUGACAUAUCCAACGUUCGCUUCUCCUCUUCUCUACUUACUCUGCCGAGCAUCAGAAGCUCUGGCCGCAGCAACCAUGUCCGCUGGCUGCUCAUCCACCUGCUCUUCCGUAGGCAACAACCAGAUAUGCGCCAAGUCGCCACCCGUACCAUCGCCUGUGGGUCUCAUCACACCCCCGCCGGCACACGCACCGCAGCCGGUUGUUUAUUGCAACCCGCUGGCGUUGGUGUGGUGCCACUGCUGCAAAUCACGCAGAGUCAUCCAUCGCGGCCGAGUCUUCUACAAAUGCCUGAAUCAUGGGGUAAUAAUAUGUUUAAGUGUUGUUCUGCUGCUUUCAGUUGCUGA
rnacentral:rRNA from 1 species